GCAUUGCCAGUGCCCCCACAGGGUUCCUUUGAGGAGCACGCUCUCAAUGACCUAAGACCUCCUUCAAGGCCUCACCUCUCUAAAGUACCACUUCCUCCCAACAGAGCCACUCUGAGGAUCAAGUCUUAAACACACGAGUCUCUGCGGGACAUUCAAUGCCUGGACUACAGCACAAAACUUACAGCAUGCCACCUCACUGUUCCAUGGAUCCACAGCCUUGCAGGAAGCAGCUCAGCUUCACUAAUGGACACCAGCACACCAGCCUUGGAGUCAGAAGCUCCAGUCUUAAGUUUAGUGUCUUCUCAACAGUGCUCUGACCACAGCCAAGUUACCCAGCCUUUCCUAACCUCAAUUUUCUUAUAUGGAAAAGAAAUUUAACAAUUUAAUCCUCACUUUUGAAAGAAUUACAAAAAAUCAUGUAAAGCAAUUAGAGCAGAACUUAACACAUGACUGUUUAAUCAAAUGUUGACUCACAUUCAGUGGCUGAAGGUAUUUCCAUAGUUUACACCUUUCUUACAAAAUGGAAAUUUACUGAAAAAUGGGCAAAACAUUUCACCACAUAUACUGUAAAUAUCUUGUUAGAAGACUAAUGGUAAAAAAAAAAAAACCUCUUAAUCUGAACUGUUUUACAACUAAAUG